rnacentral:rRNA from 1 species
CCUACGGGUGGCAGCAGUGGGGAAUAUUGCACAAUGGGGGGAACCCUGAUGCAGCGACGCCGCGUGAGUGAAGAAGUAUUUCUGUAUGUAAAGCUCUAUCAGCAGGGAAGAAAAUGACGGUACCUGACUAAGAAGCCCCGUCUAACUACGUGCCAGCAGCCGCGGUAAUACGUAGGGGGCAAGCGUUAUCCGGAUUUACUGGGUGUAAAGGGAGCGUAGACGGUUAUGCAAGUCUGAAGUGAAAGCCCAAGGCUCAACCAUGGGACUGCUUUGGAAACUGGAAAACUGGAGUGCAGGAGAGGUAAGCGGAAUUCCUAGUGUAGCGGUGAAAUGCGUAGAUAUCAGGAGGAACACCGGCGGCGAAGGCGGCCUGCUGGACCGCGACUGACGUUGAGGCUCGAAAGCGUGGGGAGCGAACAGGAUUAGAUACCCCAGUAGUC